UUACGGAUGGGGAAGUGUUAGAGCUUCACAGGGGCAGGCACUACUUGUAAGGUGCUCAAUGGUAAGUAUUGAUCAGCAGUCUUUCCCAUGAACACGUUAAUCAACUGGAGUGGUGAACAGAGGAACAAGGAGG
rnacentral:lncRNA from 1 species